rnacentral:rRNA from 1 species
UAAACAUUGACAGUUAACUACACCCACUGUCCGCCUGGGGACUACGAGCGCUAGCUUAAAACCCAAAGGACUUGGCGGUGCUUUAGACCCACCUAGAGGAGCCUGUUCUAGAACCGAUAAUCCCCGUUGAACCUCACCCUCCCUUGUUCUCUCCCGCCUAUAUACCACCGUCGUCAGCUUACCCUGUGAAGGCCCAAUAGUAAGCACAAUCGGCAAUGCCCAAAACGUCAGGUCGAGGUGUAGCGAAUGGAAGGGGAAGAAAUGGGCUACAUUUACUGGUACAGUAAAUACGGAUGAUUACCCUGCAACGAGUAUCUGAAGGAGGAUUUAGCAGUAAGCAAAAAGCAGAGCGUUUUGCUGAAAUUGGC